rnacentral:rRNA from 1 species
CACAUGCAAGUCGAGCGCGAUUAGUUGGACUGGAGACUUCGGUCAAAGGGAAGACUAUGAAAGCGGUUGACGGGUGAGUAACGCGUGAGCAACCUGCCCUGUACAGGGGGAUAGCCACUGGAAACGGUGAUUAAUACCCCAUAAACCCAAAAGAUCGCAUGAUCUAAUGGGCAAAGUUCCAACGGUACAGGAUGGGCUCGCGUCUGAUUAGCAAGUUGGUGAGGUAAUGGCUCACCAAGGCGACGAUCAGUAGCCGACCUGAGAGGGUGAACGGCCACACUGGAACUGAGACACGGUCCAGACUCCUACGGGAGGCAGCAGUGGGGAAUAUUGCACAAUGGGGGAAACCCUGAUGCAGCAACGCCGCGUGAGUGAUGAAGGCCUUCGGGUCGUAAAGCUCUUUGAUCAGGGACGAUAAUGACGGUACCUGAAAAACAAGCCACGGCUAACUACGUGCCAGCAGCCGCGGUAAUACGUAGGUGGCGAGCGUUGUCCGGAUUUACUGGGCGUAAAGAAUGCGUAGGUGGAUAUUUAAGUGGGAUGUGAAAUCCCCGGCUCAACCCGGGAACUGCAUACCAAACUGGAUAUCUGGAGUGCAGGA